rnacentral:rRNA from 1 species
AUGAAGCCGGAAUUGCUAGUAAUGGCAGGUCAGCAUACUGCCGUGAAUACGUUCCCGGGCCUUGUACACACCGCCCGUCACACCAUGAGAGUUGGGAAUACCCGAAGCCUGUGAGCUAACAUUUAUGAGGCAGCAGUCGAAGGUAGAAUCAAUGAUUGGGGUGAAGUCGUAACAAGGUAAC